rnacentral:rRNA from 1 species
UCUUAACCGAAGCUUUCCCUUCGGGGACAGAGGAGACAGGUGGUGCAUGGUUGUUGUCAGCUCGUGUUGAGAGAUGGUGGGUUAACUCCCGCAACGAGCGCAACCCCUAUCUUUGGUUGCCAGCAUUUUGGAGGGGCAUUGAAAAGACGCCGGCGACAACUUGGAAGAAGGGGGGGAGGACGUCAAAUCAUCAUGCCCCUUAUGUUCAGGGCUUCCCCCUGCUACAAUGGGCGGUAAAAGGGGUGCGAGCUCGCGAGAGCAAACCAUUCCCUAAAAGCCCUUUCACUUUGGAUUGGGCUGGAACUCCCCUGCAGAAGUUGGAGUUGCUAGUAAUCGCGGAUCAAAAUGCCGCGGAGAAUGCGUUCCCGGGUCUUGUACACACCG